rnacentral:rRNA from 1 species
AUUGAACGCUGGCGGAAUGCUUUACACAUGCAAGUCGAACGGCAGCACGGACUUCGGUCUGGUGGCGAGUGGCGAACGGGUGAGUAAUACAUCGGAACGUGCCCAGUCGUGGGGGAUAACGUAGCGAAAGCUACGCUAAUACCGCAUACGAUCUAAGGAUGAAAGCGGGGGACCGUAAGGCCUCGCGCGAUUGGAGCGGCCGAUGGCAGAUUAGGUAGUUGGUGGGGUAAAGGCUCACCAAGCCGACGAUCUGUAGCUGGUCUGAGAGGACGACCAGCCACACUGGGACUGAGACACGGCCCAGACGCCUACGGGAGGCAGCAGUGGGGAAUUUUGGACAAUGGGCGCAAGCCUGAUCCAGCCAUUCCGCGUGCGGGAUGAAGGCCCUCGGGUUGUAAACUGCUUUUGUACGGAACGAAAAGGCUCUGGUUAAUACCUGGGGCUCAUGACGGUACCGUAAGAAUAAGCACCGGCUAACUACGUGCCAGCCGCCGCAGUAA